UUUUAGUUGCAUGCGGAAAUAUACACAAAAUAUUUAACAUUUUUCCUAAGUGCCUGAGGCCCCCUCCAGUGCCUUCCUCGCAGGGGCUGCUUUGUCAUUCUCUUUGACUAGCCAGCCAUCUACCUUGCUCGGGCUGGAAUAAAAGAAGAAAAAAGGAAAGAAAGAAAGAAAAGGGAAAAAAGGAAGAAAACAAUUUUUAAAGAUUCAUCUUUCCAUCCAUUUCCCCUCCCUUUCGUUUCAUUUUUGGAGGCGGCGCAGGGGCCGUCUUUGCACAGGAAAAGCUCAGCUUCCAGGCAGACAGGGGAAGCGAUGAUCAUUCAGGUACAGAACUGGUAGCUGUCUGCGAAGAUGGAGGGGAGUUAUGCUUUGGAUUCCUCCGAAAUAUUGGCACAAGGCUUCAAAGGAUCCGCAGCGGGAGUGGGGCGGGGGAGAUGCGCCUCCCUGGCUCGCACCCACCCCUUCCCACUCGCCUCGACCAAGUGACAGCCUGGUGCUGGCUCGGGGUGAUUUGGCCUUGGCUUCAGCCAAGCAGCUGAUGCAGAGGAGGCCCGCGCGCAGGACUGGCAAAGUGCACACUAAAGAAGGAAGAAAAUUCGAAAAGCAGCCCUGGGGAGGGUUCUCGUUCUUAUAAAAACCUUUUUUUUUAAUUUUUUUUAUUUUUAACUAAAUAGUCUCAAAAUUUGAUCAGUCCCAGUCUUGCCCUCCACUCCCACCGACCUGCCGUUUAUUUUUUCUUUCUCGUCAAAGCAUAAACUACAGAGUUACAGUCUCUAGAUUUGGUGUACCGCUUCCUGCCCCCGCCUCCCCCUCCCCGCCCAGUUCUCAGUCCUCUAUUGAAACACCUCGCCCAGGCGAGCGCACUGCGAGCUCACAUUUCCCCCCCUUGCUCGGAAGGUGCUACAGGAGGCAGCAGCCCGGCUCCACUUCCAAUGGUAAGUUGCCUGUUGGGUAAACCUGAAGCUUUUCUGACGGAGCAUCUUCUCCAGAGCCAUGAGCGGGGUGCCCUCACACCCAUUCAAGCAGUGUUCUUGCUUGACUGAGUCUUGACCAUGGUGAACAAUGAGGACAAGCUCCGUUUUUCUCGUGAUGCAGCAUUUCACGUCUCGUUAGAAACAGCCUGGGCCCCAGAGUAUCGUUACACUUCUUUAUUUGUGUGCAAGAGUCGAUGUGAUAACUUUCUGUGACAUGUUCUGUUAUUUUUUUAGUUGUGUUGAUGUUCCUUUCAGCCAAUCCUAUAGUCCCCCCAUCUCAGGAAUGUCUCCCCAGUGACAGGACACAGACUGCAGAGACCGCUGUACUGGUGGACGCUCAAGCCAACUGUGAAGUUGAAACAAAGGAAUCAGGACUCGGUCACCUGAAGACACCUCUUCUGCUAAGCGACACACCCACAUGAUGCAGUUCAGCCAGUAGACUCUCAGAACAAGAGGCAAUCUUUGCAAGAAACAGGAACACUUGAGAAUGACUUCUAGAUUUCUGACUUCCCUUCCUCAUGUGUAUUCCUCUGUUUGUAUUUCAAUUCUGUGUGACAUUCAUCUUUAAAAAAAAAGUGUUUUCUGAUAUGACUAUGCUUAUCAACACACCCAAUUUUUAAAAUAGAAAAUUUCACACACGCUAAUGUUUUAAGGAACAAAAUUCAUGCUAUGAAUUUUAGCCACAUACAAGGUUUGACCUUAAGAGUGACUUAAACAAUAGGAUAUAAAGUUAUUUUGAAACAGCGGAGUCGUCGGAGGUAACUCAAAGGAUAGAAUAACGGUGGUAACUCAGAAUGCAGUGUGGAAAGGCACUACCCUGUGACACCACCAAUCAACCAUUCUUUCUGUCAGGCAAGCUAGGUUCUGCCUCUGCAGAGUUUAAGUUUAGUUAGGCAGAGGUACGUACACUUUUGACAAGAUAAGUAACAAAUCAAGUCAAUAGACAAUAACAGUAAAACCAAAGCAAGACAAAAGAUGUAUGAACAAGGAGCUCAGAGGUGGUCACGUUAAACUGGGCAAACUGGUCUGUUUAGGGAAGAAAGUUCGCAAAGGAGGAGGAAAUGAAUCUUAAAAGAUGUUAAAGAUUUCGAUAAAUGGAAAAAAAGGAGAAAAUCGAGUCCUUUAGAUGGAUGUGGUGUUGUGAGCGAAGUCCGGGAAGACUACAUGUAAUUUUAGGGAAUUAUGAUCACACAUGUCUAGUUGCCUUCACCCCAGACUUUCAGUGCCAGUGUGUAUGUAUGUACAUACGUGGUAAAGACUUCAUGGACACAUUGUCCCUCUCCCGCUUCAGGUGUCGCCUAGAAUCAUAAUUGUAUUUCCUCCAUUAAAGCAUGUGAGAGUGGCGACAACAGGAGGAUUUGUGAUUUUUCUCUUGGCCUGAUAACAAUGGAUGUUUAUUGAGUUCUCACUGCAUUUUGAGUAUUUUAUACAUUAACUCUCUGAAGCCUCACAACAAUCCUGCAAAAUUUAUCCCCAUUUUACACUAAGAAAACUGAGGUUUAAUGAGGUUAAGUAACUUGCCAAACCACCACAUCCAGGUGUCACAAUCAGAUUUGCCAUCGCAAAGCUCAUGAUCUACAGCACUAAGUCAAAAUACUGCGACCAACAUCACGAUAUGACCACUUCUCUAGCCCUUGAGAUUUUUCUGUGGUAAACGGUAACAAUUAUCUUCUCAAAUUUUUCAGUUUUCUGGUUAAAUUACACGAAAGUGAUGGAACGUAUUUUUAUCAUGACAGAAAUUGGGGGGGGGGGAAUGGGGUUUAUCAGCAUUUUAGGCUGCUUUGGUGGGUGUCCAGCCUUUGAUGGGACUAUUCAUUUUGGUGAGCAUGAACUCUCCACUUCUUGAGAAUGAAAAUAGAAAGUGAGGGGAGCCUAAAGGUCAUCUAUACAAUGUCCUUUUCUACAGGUGUUGUCAAUCCAUGAAGUUAGAGUGACUUACGAAAGAUCCCACAUUUGCGUGUAGCAAAGCAAGGUCCAGAAACCAUGCCCUCAGCGGCUCUUAAAUAAACAACUGCAUCCUGCCUAAAAGAAGUGUGAGCUUGAAUUUGAUCAAUGACAACAUUCCAUCUGAGUGAUCAGGGGCGGCAUGGAACCUAGUAGACUGCUCAGUUUUGCACCUCUCUGGCUUCUCACCUCAGCGUGAAAAAUAGCUAUAGCUCUGGGCUGACAUCUUUAGAUGCAGGAAUUGUCAGUGGUCCAUCCACACAGAACAUAUAAUGGCCCAAGUUAUGUGUACAGUGUCUUCAGUGAUUUGGAAUUCUCAGUUCACCUAAACAGAUCUUCUCAUGAGCAUUUCCUGAACCAAUUUUAUGCACAGUAUAUAUUUGUUAGAGCUUCCACAUCAAGAUUUAAACACGACUGUUUCGCUAGUCCUUAUGUUUUUGACGAUAUCAGUGGUUCUUUGCUAUUUUAACCUUCACUUAUCCAGGUGACUAACUCAAGAAUACUUCAGCAAUAAAAAGCUGGAAUUGAGGAAACCUUAUUCUUUACCAGCCCCUUCGCCUUCAGUUGGCAUUCAGUCAUGCCAAAUAGAGGGGUCAGCUGGAGAACUCAGAAAUUUGAAAUGCAAUUUUGUCUCAAGUCCGUUAAGCUGUGUUUACUUAAGGGCAAGCUUCUAGAUGUUUGAAAGUACCUGAAUAUUUGACUGUUGUAAAUUUCCAGUUAGAUAUCUGGCAUUGUUGCACUUGGACCUGCUGGUGGCUCAGGUCAUCCUAUUUUCAAAGUGAUCAUUGGCCAUGUGUCACACAAUUCUCAUUAAGUGAGUUCAUAGAGUUUUUUAAGUCGAGCCAAGCACAAAAUGUGACUUUGUUGACAUUUUAUGAGACUUUGUCAUAUGUCCCCUGAACCCCCCAAUAAAAGCACUGUUGCAUCAACUGUGAA